CUUGGAAAUGAUUUGGUGUGUUCUCUAUAAACACACGAGGUGUCCUUCCUUUUGACAAAUCCUCUGAAUCAUAACUGCUUUGAGAAUGGCUAUUCAACAAUCAGCUCGUGGUGGUGACUGUGACAGCCCUGACUGCCAAUUUGAGUGUGAAUACUGGGCUGCGGCCACUGGAUAGAUGUUUAAUAACUCAGAGAAAACCAACUGUGAAUAAGACCUUGACACAUUUUGCUACAGUUUAGCACAAAUGCCUCCCAGGAGAGUCCCCAGGUCAUCACUGAUGCAGAGCAGAUCUUAGCUCAACAUCACUGUACCUCUCAGGAUAGUCCCAGGAACACCUUCAAUACUGAGAAGAAUAUGGAAAAACACAGUUAUGCUAGAGUGACAACUGACUGUGGAGUAGCUGAGACAGACACUAUGCGGGUAUAUGCUGCAAAUCCAGCACUCAUGCAUAAUACAGGAGGAGCAAAUGGACUAUUCAUUAGACAGUCAGUCUCGCAGCUCUAGAGAUUAUGGACACAGGGGGGUGUUGGAGCCUAUCCCAGCGGUCAUUGGGCGGAAAGCAGGAAACACCCUGGACAGGUCACCAGUCCACUGAAGACUCUGGUUAACAGACUAAAAAAAUGUCACCAAACUCACCAAUGUUUUUGUGGCAUAUAUCAUUGGGUACAGCUUAUGGAUAAGAUUCCAGAACAGUGAUGCUGUGCUGGAGUCUGA